rnacentral:tRNA from 1 species
GCCCCCGUAGCACAAUGGAUAGUGCAGCCGCCUCCUAAGCGGCCGAUCUUGGUUCGAUUCCGAGCGGGGGUG